GAUGAAGAACGUAGCGAAAUGCGAUAAGUAAUGUGAAUUGCAGAAUUCAGUGAAUCAUCGAAUCUUUGAACGCACCUUGCGCUCUUUGGUAUUCCGAAGAGCAUGCCUGUUUGAGUGUCAUGAAAAUAUCAACCUUGACUUGGGUUUUGUGCUCUAGUCUCGGCUUGGAAUUGGGUGCUUGCCGCUUUUACGAGCGGCUCACCUUAAAUGUAUUAGCUGGAUCUGUCUUUGAGACUUGGUUUGACUUGGCGUAAUAAGUAUUUCGCUAAGGACAUUCUUCGGAGUGGCCUCGUUUCUAGGACGCUUGUCCGCUUUCCAAUACAAGUUCCACCUCGUGGACAUGACUUUUUAUUAUCUGGCCUCAAAUCAGGUAGGACUACCCGCUGAACUUAAGCAUAUCAAUAAACGGAGGA
rnacentral:misc_RNA from 1 species